CCCCGGUUAGCACAGUAGGUAGAGCGCUCCACCUGUAAUGGAGAGGUCCCGGGUUCGAUACCCGGACCAGGCA
rnacentral:tRNA from 2 species